AAACCACAGGGCAGAUUCGUUCAACAGACAGAUGAGUUCAGUUCAGUACCACCCGGUGCUGUCAAUACGAGCAAACAUAAAUGUCAGUUGCGCAAACGUCAGAACAUAUCCUCGUGUGCUGUACUGUCAGAUGGAGCAUAGACACAACGUGAUCAGUCCGUAAGUUGCUCGUCAUUGCACUGUUUCAAUAUUAAAAUCAGUUAGCAGUCGUAGUUAAACCUUUAUUAAAGUUGCUUAAAUUCUAGUUAAUUAUAGUGAAUUUGUAACAGAACGAGAAACUAAAGCUAAUAGUACGGCUAAUUGACUAGUUCAGGCUAAUUAUCACAGAUUUGCAAGAAGGGACACUACGAACACAGAUAAAAAAGGAGUUUGUUUCGGAUAAACUCGGAAGAAGAAAACGAAAAUGUAAGCAUAACCUAUAUUAUAAACCAAAUGAAACUUAAUAUAAUAUAUUACAGCUUUGAAGCUGCGUGUAAGCUGCUAUCAGGACGUGUAUUCUUCCCAAUCCGAACAAUUUUCAAAGAUUUUCUGGAGAACACAGUUCUUGGAAGAAGGAGAUGGAUUUGACGAAACAUUGUGCCAAGUGUGAUCGACCGGACUCGGCGGAUAAUUUAGUCGGAUGCGACUCCUGUGAGACGUGGAUGCACUUUGGGUGUGCGGGAGUGACGGAUUCCAUCGCCGAGGUUAAUCGCAGUUGGAAAUGCGAGCAGUGCA